UUGCGAUUAAAGGUAAAAAGGGGGGAUUUUAAAAAAUCGAAAUUUUGGGACAUUUUGGACAAUUUCUCGGUAGUCACUCAUGAUAACUGAGAAAAAAAAUUCUUCAGCUUGUAAUAUUUAUGCCAGAUUGACAUAGAUUAGUGAUGUUGACCCCCGCAGCCAACAUGGAAGAAAAUGAUAAAGAUUAUCUUUAUUUACAAAAAUUAUCGAUAAAAAAUAUUUAUAUUUAAUAUUCAGCUUUGCAAUAAUAUAUUACAAUAUAUAAAGAUAUUUUUGGGAAAGUUUUGUUAAGAUAACAUAAAGAAUAAAGGAGAAGUUAGUACUGUAAAGUUUACACCCGGUCC
rnacentral:lncRNA from 1 species